UUGAAGGUUGUCCAAUAAUACAUGCUUUACUUUGGCCAAGGUGAUUAGAGCUGUGGCUGGAAAACACUAGAGGAUAGCAUUAUCUUUCUCCAUAUGAUUUUACAAACUAAUGCAUCCUGGAAACUCAAGAAAUACUUUUAUUCAAGGCAGGUGCUGAUGUAGGUGUGUGCUGGCAGAACUCCAAGAGCCUGUCUCACUGACCUUAACUAAGUGGAGGAGGAUGUACACAAAUAGAUAAUAUAAGACUCAUCAUCCGGUGACUGCUACUGUAUUUCUGCUUCUGCCUUGUGGAAACAGAACAGCUUUCAUCAGAAAUGUUUCAUUACUG